CCCUAAGAAUAUAGACAUGCAUUGGCCUCAUCAUAUUCCAGGUCAAUUAGAUAGUCUAGCUACUAGAUAACGUGGAGUUAAAAAUGCCUUUGUUGAAAGUAACUGCACUGGAUUGCAAAGACUGGGGUGGACUUCUUUCUUAAUGUCCAGUGUCCUGUGUCAUAAGAUUCGGUACAAUAAUU